GAUGAACGCUGGCGGCGUGCCUAAUACAUGCAAGUCGAGCGAACAGACGAGGAGCUUGCUCCUCUGACGUUAGCGGCGGACGGGUGAGUAACACGUGGAUAACCUACCUAUAAGACUGGGAUAACUUCGGGAAACCGGAGCUAAUACCGGAUAAUAUAUUGAACCGCAUGGUUCAAUAGUGAAAGACGGUUUUGCUGUCACUUAUAGAUGGAUCCGCGCCGCAUUAGCUAGUUGGUAAGGUAACGGCUGACCAAGGCAACGAUGCGUAGCCGACCUGAGAGGGUGAUCGGCCACACUGGAACUGAGACACGGUCCAGACUCCUACGGGAGGCAGCAGUAGGGAAUAUUCCGCAAUGGGCGAAAGCCUGACGGAGCAACGCCGCGUGAGUGAUGAAGGUCUUCGGAUCGUAAAACUCUGUUAUUAGGGAAGAAAAAAUGUGUAAGUAACUAUGCACGUCUUGACGGUACCUAAUCAGAAAGCCACGGCUAACUACGUG
rnacentral:rRNA from 1 species